GAAUCUGGAGUCUAAGACCUAGGACAGUCCACAGGACCAAGAGUGUUCUGGGGUUUUAUCUUAUUAAAUUCAAGUGCUUACGAGCUGCCAUCUAAGCUGAGAUCUGAGCACAGUGUCUAAGGGACCGAGAGGAUGACUUGUCAUGAGCUGUAGAGAGAUUUAGAGGCAGAACAGCAAAGGAGCAAGUACUGAGACUUGUGGGACACCAGUGGAAAUGCAGAAAGCAGAUCACCAGAUAUGACUGAGCAGCAGAUAGACACCAUUUGGAUGAAGUGCAAGUGUGGCGGAAUAAUGUGCGACAUGUACAGCUGCGUUCGGGAUCAGUGGUGAUGGUGCACAGGGGAAGACCUGCCAGGAACAAGUCGUUAUAGUCCAAUCUCCAAACGACAAGGAUAUUGAGCAGCAUCUCUGGAGAGUAAUGACUGAAGCCCGCUGAAAGGGAACCAGCAAAGUGACCAGAGAACUACAUCAAGGUUUCAUGUGUGUUCGGAUGUGUGUUCAGUGUGGUCUCUGGGGAGAUGACAAGAAUUUGAUGUCAAGACACAACUCCAGGGAUAUACAGCUCGUUCUUUCAGGGAUUCCCUUUUGGAUGAUAAGCUGUCAGAAUUGCUGAAACUGUGUGGAUAAGUUACUUGACACCACCAUAGCAGUAAUAGGAAACACACACACUGGAAAAGCAGAGCAGGUAAAGGCAGAAAAUG